rnacentral:rRNA from 1 species
AUUGAACGCUGGCGGCAGGCCUAACACAUGCAAGUCGAGCGGAUGAAGGGAGCUUGCUCCUGGAUUCAGCGGCGGACGGGUGAGUAAUGCCUAGGAAUCUGCCUGGUAGUGGGGGAUAACGUCCGGAAACGGGCGCUAAUACCGCAUACGUCCUGAGGGAGAAAGUGGGGGAUCUUCGGACCUCACGCUAUCAGAUGAGCCUAGGUCGGAUUAGCUAGUUGGUGGGGUAAAGGCCUACCAAGGCGACGAUCCGUAACUGGUCUGAGAGGAUGAGGAGUAACAGUGGAAAGUAGACGGGGUUGAGAGUAGUAAGGGAGGGAGAAGUGGGGAAUAUUGAACAAUGGGGUAGAGUUUGAUGACGACAUGGUGGGUGGAUGAAGAAGGUAUUUGUAUUGUAUAGUUAUUUAAGUGGGGAAGAAGGCAGUACAGUUAAUACCUUUGCUCAUUGAGGGGCCCAACAGAAGAAGCAACGGCUAAUUCCGUG